AAAGAGGGCGUGGUCCUCCAGGUGGCCAUGAGCUCCCGACAAGCUAUGGUUCCACCUGGUCCCAGCUUUCAAGCAUAAUCUUGGGCUUCUUUGCAGGGUGACUUCUCAAUAUCCCGGCCACAGGAAGAGCUCCAACUCAAGCAUUGCCUCUCACUCACCAGAAAGAAAUUGAGAGCUCAGAGAAGUGUCAAAUGGGCAGGAAGUUCCACAUCAGGGCCACACACGGCCACUGACCCCCAGGCCCUUCCCGAGGAGGCUAAGCAAUGCUCUCGGAUUCGUGCCAGGAGUGAGCAGAACCAGAAAUGCUUGGCAAACCGUAUGAUAUUGGAUGACAGCGAAAUUCCUCACAAAGCAGGUACUGGAUUCACCAAAACUUUCGAGGUGGGGAAGGAAAACCUGUCCGGGAAUGAGGAAAAUAGGGGCAGCUGACGUGCUCCAUUUAAGGAAGAGAGAAAAACUUGGGAGGAGGAAGCGCAAUGAAAAGGGAACUGGGAGAGAAACCCCAGGGAGUCACCAAGCGCCACUGCACACUGCCCAAAACUUGGAGCUGUCUCCCGCGGGCCUCGCCAGCGUACGCUGCCUGGGCGCUGGACAGCUCGCUGCUGUGGGGCGGCGCCCUGAGCACUGCAGGAAGUGCAGCAGCAGCCCUGGUCUCUACUCACCUAGAUACCAGGGGCACCUGUGACAACCAACCAUGUUGUGACAACCAGAAAUGUCCCCUGAGCAAUAAAAUCGACCUCCACUGAGAACUACCACGCAC
ensembl:lncRNA